rnacentral:rRNA from 1 species
AUUGAACGCCGGCGGCAUGCCUUACACAUGCAAGUCGAACGGUAACAGGUCUUCGGAUGCUGACGAGUGGCGAACGGGUGAGUAAUACAUCAGAACGUGCCUAGUAGUGGGGGAUAACUACUCGAAAGAGUGGCUAAUACCGCAUGAGAUCUACGGAUGAAAGCAGGGGAUCGCAAGACCUUGUGCUACCAGAGCGGCCGAUGGCAGAUUAGGUAGUUGGUGGGAUAGAAGCUUACCAAGCAGACGAUCUGUAGCUGGUCUGAGAGGACGAUCAGCCACACUGGGACUGAAACACGGCCCAGACUCCUACGGAAGGCAGCAGUGGGGAAUUUUGGACAAUGGGCGCAAGCCUGAUCCAGCAAUGCCGCGUGCAGGAUGAAGGCCUUCGGGUUGUAAACUGCUUUUGUACGGAACGAAAAGCCCCGGGUUAAUACCCUGGGGUCAUGACGGUACCGUAAGAAUAAGCACCGGCUAACUACGUGCCAGCAGCCGCGGUAA